UACGAAGGGGGCUAGCGUUGCUCGGAAUUACUGGGCGUAAAGCGCACGUAGGCGGCUUUCUAAGUCGGACGUGAAAUCCCUCAGCUUAACUGGGGAACUGCGUCCGAUACUGGAUGGCUUGAGUUUGGGAGAGGGAUGCGGAAUUCCAGGUGUAGCGGUGAAAUGCGUAGAUAUCUGGAGGAACACCGGUGGCGAAGGCGGCACCCUGGACCAACACUGACACUGAGGAGCGAAAGCCAGGGGAGCAAACGGG
rnacentral:rRNA from 1 species